AAGAAAGAAAGAAAGAAAGAAAGAAAGAAAGAAAGAAGAUGAAUGAACAAGAACAGGUUCAUCUUCUCUUGCUUCAUGUUUUGGACUCUGCAGACUUAGAGUGUCAUUACUAUUAAGAUCUGAAAAGCUUCCCCUCCUCCCCACAAGCUCACCUAUAGAAGACUUGGUGCUCACACCUCAGCAGUUUUUAGAAGUGAUUGGACCAUGAGACUCUAAUCUUGUUGAUGACUUAAUCCAUUGAUAGGUUCAUCACUGUUGGAAGUUACCAUGAAAUGAACGGUCUGGCUCCACAACCUGCUUCCCACUACAAUAUUCUGCCUCUCUGUGAGCUCAGAAGCAGCAAAGUUAAUGACCAUGGACAGAGAUAUCAGAAGCCAUGAACCCAAAUAAAGCUUGUCCCCUAAAAGCUGA